UGGGGCGUCGCCAAGCGGUAAGGCAACGGACUUUGACUCCGUCAUGCGUUGGUUCGAAUCCAACCGCCCCAGCCA
rnacentral:tRNA from 1 species